rnacentral:rRNA from 1 species
GAAUAUUGGACAAUGGGGGCAACCCUGAUCCAGCCAUGCCGCGUGUGGGAAGAAGGCCUUUUGGUUGUAAAGCACUUUAAGCAGUGAAGAAGACUCCAUGGUUAAUAACCAUGGACGAUGACAUUAGCUGCAGAAGACGCACCGGCUAACUAUGUGCCAGCCGCCGCGGUAAUACAGCGGGUGCAAGCGUUAAUCGGAAUUACUGGGCGUAAAGCGGGCGUAGGUGGCUUGAUAGGUCGGAUGUGGAAUCCCCGGGCUUAACCUGGGAACUGCAUCUGAUACUGUUAGGCUAGAAUAGGUGAGAGGAAGGUAGAAUUCCAGGUGUAGCGGUGAAAUGCGUAGAGAUCUGGAGGAAUACCGAUGGCGAAGGCAGCCUUCUGGCAUCAUAUUGACACUGAGGUUCGAAAGCGUGGGUAGCAAAC